rnacentral:rRNA from 1 species
AAUCAACGCUGGCGGCGCGCUUAACACAUGCAAGUCGAGCGAGAAAGUGGAGCAAUCCAUGAGUACAGCGGCGUACGGGUGAGUAACACGUGGGUGAUCUACCUCUUAGUGGGGAAUAACCCUGGGAAACCGGGGCUAAUACCGCAUAAGCCUGAGAAGGGAAAGUGGCUUUGUGAAAGCAGAGCCGCGCUGAGAGAGGAGCCCGCGGCUGAUUAGCUAGUUGGNGAGGUAACGGCCCACCAAGGCAUAGAUCGGUAGCCGGCUUGAGAGGGCACACGGCCACACUGGCACUGAAACACGGGCCAGACUCCUACGGGAGGCAGCAGUGGGGAAUCUUGCACAAUGGGGGAAACCCUGAUGCAGCGACGCCGCGUGAGCGAUGAAGCCCUUCGGGUGUAAAGCUCUUUCGGUCAGGGAAGAUAAUGACGGUACCUGCAGAAGCAGCUGCGGCUAACUACGUGCCAGCAGCCGCCGUAAC